CGUAGUGACCUGCGGAGGAUCAUUAC
rnacentral:rRNA from 1 species